rnacentral:misc_RNA from 1 species
AACGCACAUUGCGCCCGGCAGUAAUCUGCCGGGCAUGCCUGUCCGAGCGUCAUUUCUGCCCUCGAGCGAAGUUUCCAGCAUCUAGGUGCUGGGGGCCCGCCCGGCGUUGGGGCACUACGGUAGAGCCCUGUGCUGUCCGUAGGCCCUGAAAUGAAGUGGCGGUCCUGCCGCGGCGCCCCCUGCGUAGUAUAACAGCUCGCUUCGGGACCCGGUGGAGGCCUGCCGUCAAACCUAUAUUCUCUAAGUUUGACCUCGGAUCAGGUAGGGUUACCCGCUGAACUUAA